GGGUUGUGAGGUUAAGCGACCAAGCGUACACGGUGGAUGCCCUGGCAGUCAGAGGCGAUGAAGGACGUGCUAAUCUGCGAAAAGCGCCGGUAAGGUGAUAUGAACCGUUAUAACCGGCGAUGUCCGAAUGGGGAAACCCAGUGUGACUCGUCACACUAUCAUUAACUGAAUCCAUAGGUUAAUGAGGCGAACCGGGGGAACUGAAACAUCUAAGUACCCCGAGGAAAAGAAAUCAACCGAGAUUCCCCCAGUAGCGGCGAGCGAACGGGGAGGAGCCCAGAGCCUGAAUCAGCAUGUGUGUUAGUGGAAGCGUCUGGAAAGGCGCGCGAUACAGGGUGAGAGCCCCGUACACAAAAGCGCACAUGCUGUGAGCUCGAUGAGUAGGGCGGGACACGUGGUAUCCUGUCUGAAUAUGGGGGGACCAUCCUCCAAGGCUAAAUACUCCUGACUGACCGAUAGUGAACCAGUACCGUGAGGGAAAGGCGAAAAGAACCCCGGCGAGGGGAGUGAAACAGAACCUGAAACCGUGUACGUACAAGCAGUGGGAGCCUCUCUUUAUGGGGGGUGACUGCGUACCUUUUGUAUAAUGGGUCAGCGACUUAUAUUCUGUAGCAAGGUUAACCGCAUAGGGGAGCCGAAGGGAAACCGAGUCUUAAUUGGGCGUUAAGUUGCAGGGUAUAGACCCGAAACCCGGUGAUCUAGCCAUGGGCAGGUUGAAGGUUGGGUAACACUAACUGGAGGACCGAACCGACUAAUGUUGAAAAAUUAGCGGAUGACCUGUGGCUGGGGGUGAAAGGCCAAUCAAACCGGGAGAUAGCUGGUUCUCCCCGAAAGCUAUUUAGGUAGCGCCUCGUGAAUUCAUCUCCGGGGGUAGAGCACUGUUUCGGCUAGGGGGCCAUCCCGGCUUACCAACCCGAUGCAAACUGCGAAUACCGGAGAAUGUUAUCACGGGAGACACACGGCGGGUGCUAACGUCCGUCGUGAA
rnacentral:rRNA from 1 species